UACGAAGGGGGCUAGCGUUGCUCGGAAUCACUGGGCGUAAAGCGUCUGUAGGUGGCUUUUUAAGUCUGCCGUCAAAUCCCAGGGCUUAACCCUGGACAGGCGGUGGAAACUACCAAGCUGGAGUACGGUAGGGGCAGGGGGAAUUUCCGGUGGAGCGGUGAAAUGCGUAGAGAUCGGAAAGAACACCAACGGCGAAAGCACUCUGCUGGGCCGACACUGACACUGAGAGACGAAAGCUAGGGGAGCGAAUGGG
rnacentral:rRNA from 1 species